GUGCUUGCUUUGGCAGCAUAUAUACUAAACUUAAAACAAUAUUGGAUGAUUAGCAUGACCCCUGCACAAGGAUGACAUGCAAAUUCAUGAAGCAUUCCAUAGAAAA
ensembl:snRNA U6 U6 spliceosomal RNA